GAAGCCCGAUGCCGCUGAAGCCACAAAUGCAGAGACAGCAGGGAUGGCAGCAAUGUGGGACUUUACAGUGCACCACAGUCGCCUUCCAGUUGGGCUGGUUUGCAGGAAAUCAGGAAAGAGAGACAUUCACUAUGCAUAACAGCACUCUGCAGUGGGAGAAGUGAGAGAAGCUAAGCUGCAUCCUGCAAGACUGGAGAUGGAGAGGAGGAAGUUGGAGCCUCCUCAGUGAACUUCAGCUUUUCUGCCACGGGGGAACUGGUGGGAAAAGUUCAGAAAAGAAUCCUCCAGGUGUGAAGUCUGAUGUCAGUCAGCCUCAGAAAACCAGCACCAGCUGAGCUGAGGACCUGCAAGCAAGUGUCAGACCCAGGGACCUUGAUAAUGAGACACCACAGCUUGUCCUUGUCUAGUUGGUGAGACCGUACAUUCCCUCUUGUUGUGCAAUUUGUGGUGGCUUUACAGACUUUGAUGCCAACCUGAAGGACACACCCCAAGCUUUUGGAUGCUGCUCAGCCAGGACAAACCCCAAAACAUGACACUUCUUCCCAUGGCAUCACCAAAUCAGGCUUCCCUGAUCCCUACAGAGUCGAGGCAGCCCCAGCUCACCUCUCCCUCUGCUCCUGACUGAAAUUCUAGCUGGAAGAGCAGCCCUUCCCUGCUUGAGAAGCACAUGAGACGGACUUGGUAUGCGAUGUCGCACCUGGGAUACAUCACACUCCUCAGGAACAUCUGCAGGCCACAAGCAGGGCUCAAGUGGAUGUGAGGAGGCCCUCAAACAACCCCAUCCCACCAAGUGGGACCUCUCUGCAUGGUCACCCUGGAGAGAGGCACCAGCUGGGACUAAGUUCAUCAGCCAGGUGGGAAUUUCAGGGGGUGGUGCUGUGGCUCUGGUGGUGGAAGCCAUCCCAAGCCAUGGGCUGUCUCCACAGGCAGGAACCAAAGGGUUAUCCCAAUGCAGCUUUGCCAGCAUGUUGAUCUCUUCCCACUGUGGUGUCAAGAAGGGCUGUUGGGAUGAGGGGUUGG